rnacentral:rRNA from 1 species
GAUGAACGCUGGCGGCGUGCCUAAUACAUGCAAGUCGAGCGAACAGACGAGGAGCUUGCUCCUUUGACGUUAGCGGCGGACGGGUGAGUAACACGUAGGUAACCUACCUAUAAGACUGGGAUAACUUCGGGAAACCGGAGCUAAUACCGGAUAAUAUUUCGAACCGCAUGGUUCGAUAGUGAAAGAUGGCUUUGCUAUCACUUAUAGAUGGACCUGCGCCGUAUUAGCUAGUUGGUAAGGUAACGGCUUACCAAGGCAACGAUACGUAGCCGACCUGAGAGGGUGAUCGGCCACACUGGAACUGAGACACGGUCCAGACUCCUACGGUAGGCAGCAGUAGGGAAUCUUCCACAAUGGGCGAAAGCCUGACGGAGCAACGCCGCGUGAGUGAUGAAGGUCUUCGGAUCGUAAAACUCUGUUAUUAGGGAAGAACAAACGUGUAAGUAACUGUGCACGUCUUGACGGUACCUAAUCAGAAAGCCACGGCUAACUACGUG